rnacentral:rRNA from 1 species
AACGAACGCUGGCGGCAUGCCUAACACAUGCAAGUCGAACGAGACCUUCGGGUCUAGUGGCGCACGGGUGCGUAACGCGUGGGAACCUGCCCUUAGGUUCGGAAUAACUCCCCGAAAGGGGUGCUAAUACCGGAUAAUGUCUUCGGACCAAAGAUUUAUCGCCUUUGGAUGGGCCCGCGUUGGAUUAGCUAGUUGGUAGGGUAAAAGCCUACCAAGGCGACGAUCCAUAGCUGGUCUGAGAGGAUGAUCAGCCACACUGGGAGUGUGACACGGCCCAGACUCCUGCGGGAGGCAGCAGUGGGGAAUAUUGUACGAUAGGGGGAAGCCUGAUCCAGCAAUGCCGCGUGAGUGAUGAAGGCCUUAGGGUUGUAAAGCUCUUUUACCCGGGAUGAUAAUGACAGUACCGGGAGAAUAAGCACCGGCUAACUCCGUG